rnacentral:misc_RNA from 1 species
UCUAGUUCUCAUAAUAUCACUAAGCCAAUUAAGAUCAUUGGUUAUUUAUUUAUUUAUCAUAUAUAACUUCUAAAAGAAAUGGGCAAGAGUGAUCUUCUAGUUAUUGUAGAAUAUAAACUUGACAGGAUUUUUAUUGUAUAGACUCGUUUCAUUAUAAGCUUAAGACAUAAAGUCAUAGAUUCAAUUCCCAAAACUGACAUUGAAGUAGUGGUGUAUUUGCAGGGAAUCACGGUGAUAUGUACAAAG